GACGAACGCUGGCGGCGUGCCUAAUACAUGCCAGUUGAGCGCUGACGGUUGGUACUUGUACCAACUGGAUGAGCAGCGAACGGGUGAGUAACGCGUGGGUAAUCUGCCUUUGAGCGGGGGACAACAUUUGGAAACGAAUGCUAAUACCGCAUAAAAACUUUAAACACAAGUUUUAAGUUUGAAAGAUGCAAUUGCAUCACUCAAAGAUGAUCCCGCGUUGUAUUAGCUAGUUGGUGAGGUAAAGGCUCACCAAGGCGAUGAUACAUAGCCGACCUGAGAGGGUGAUCGGCCAAAUUGGGACUGGAGCCAGGCCCAAACUCCCACGGGAGGCAGCAGGAGGGAAACUUCGGCAAAGGACGAAAGGCUGAACGCGGAAAGCCGCGGGAGUGAAGAAGGGUCUCGGAUCGGAAAACUCUGUUGGUAGAGAAGAAAGUUGGUGAGAGUGGAAAGCUCAUCAAGUGACGGUAACUAAACAGAAAGGGACGGCUAACUACGUG
rnacentral:rRNA from 1 species